rnacentral:sRNA from 1 species
CUUUCUCUUCUUCUUCUUCUUCAACUUCAUCUUCUUCAUCUUCUUCAUCUUUC